rnacentral:sRNA from 2 species
UGAUAUCCCGCGUUAGCUAUUGCAGCGGCAUCCUUUUUUAAGGGGCCAUGGAACCCUUAAAAAAGAUACAGCGGAAAGAGCGACCCGAU